AGCUGGACUCAGUUUAGAUGAUCCCAAUUUUGUUGGCAGCAUCCAAAGCAUCACAGUCAGGAGCCAGUCGAACAUAUGCUUUCUUUUCUCCAUCGGGCCUGAUCAGAGUGUUGACCUUGGCCACGUCAGUGUCAUAGAGCUUCUUCACAGCCUGUUUGAUCUGGUGCUUGUUGGCCUUGACAUCCCCAACGAACACAAGUGUGUUGUUUUCUGUUUUCUUCAUGGCUGGCUCAGUAGUCACGGGGAAAGACUGGUCAAGCUUGUUUCUCCUGGGGGCUCUGUUAACGAGGAUAUUCGGGUUGCCUUUGGAGACGCGGUGUCUUGAGCCACUGGAAUGUAGGUGAUGUGCGGAUCUCCUUUGUUUUAAUGCCCCUGGAUGCCUUUCCGUACUGCUUUCUUGGCCUUCAAAGCCUUUACUUUGGCUUCAGCAUUGGGAGGGGCAGGGGCUUCCUUCUUCACCUUAGGUGCCAUCUUCGUGAAAGGGCUC
rnacentral:lncRNA from 1 species